GCGGGGGUAGCCAAGCCUGGUCAAAGGCGGCGGCCUCAAGAGCCGCUCCCGCAGGGGUUCGUGGGUUCGAAUCCCACCCCCCGCA
rnacentral:tRNA from 1 species